rnacentral:rRNA from 1 species
CCAGAGAGCCCCACCCCACGCGCCCCCACCACUCUCUCUCCCUUAUCCUCCCAACACCCACGCAACCACGAUCUCUCUCCCUCCUCUCUUGUACCUCUCUCUGCUCUCGAUCCAGAGCAAGCCGGCGCCCGAAACCACCUCGUCCGCCGGCCCCCACCUAGCCCACUGGCGCCGGCCCCUUCCCCUCAGCCCCCGGCGCCACUGGCCCCGACCCCAUCCCCCGUCGCCCCUGUCGGCCUCCGUGCCCCGUCCCCCGUCGCACGCCAUCCACCUCUGUUUGCGCCACCGGAGCCCACUCCGCCAACGCCACCGGUCGCACGCCGCUCGUCUGCCUACGCCCACACAACCUGCUGCACCGCCCGCCCGCCUGCGCUCGCAACCAGCCGCUCGUUGCCCGCCUCAGCCACACGCCCGCCUUCGUGCGUCUGCCUGCGCGGUCCGCCCGCUGGGGCCCGCCUCCACCAACGCCACCAGCCGCAACCGGCGCCGGCGCCACCAGAUCGAGUGCGUCCCACAGUGUCCUACACAGAUAGAGGAGCGGCGGAUCGAGAAGCGGUUGUUCGUCUCCACCAGAUUGAGGCCGAGAUGGAUCGAGAAGAUAUUCAUGUGUAUUUUUUUCGAGAAUCGAUAUUGUUUUGUGUUGUGAUGUAGACAUGUAGCGCUUCAUUUUGUAUAA